AUUGAACGCUGGCGGCAUGCUUUACACAUGCAAGUCGAACGGCAGCGCGGGCUUCGGCCUGGCGGCGAGCGGCGAACGGGUGAGUAAUGCAUCGGAACGUGCCCAGUAGUGGGGGAUAGCCCGGCGAAAGCCGGAUUAAUACCGCAUACGACCUGAGGGUGAAAGCGGGGGACCGAAAGGCCUCGCGCUAUUGGAGCGGCCGAUGUCGGGUUAGCUAGUUGGUGGGGUAAAGGCUUACCAAGGCGACGAUCCGUAGCUGGUCUGAGAGGACGACCAGCCACACUGGGACUGAGACACGGCCCAGACUCCUACGGGAGGCAGCAGUGGGGAAUUUUGGACAAUGGGGGCAACCCUGAUCCAGCCAUGCCGCGUGCGGGAAGAAGGCCUUCGGGUUGUAAACCGCUUUUGUUCGGGAAGAAAUCCUCUGGGCUAAUACCCCGGGGGGAUGACGGUACCGGAAGAAUAAGCACCGGCUAACUACGUG
rnacentral:rRNA from 1 species